GGUUCAGUCUAAUAUUUGUCCUAUAGUCCCUUCUCAAGACAAUGAUUACCCCGCUGUGGUGGAACAUCCAUUAAGCAAAGAUUGUCUCUGUAGCCCAUGUAACUGCAGCCAUGGAAACUUGGCUGCGAACUAAUUCCAUUUGACGACGAAACUCUACCAGGAUCGAUUCCAUACCCAAAAGUAAAACCAGUACAAGUUGAGUUUUGGAUAAGAAAGGGAUUGCGAGAGCCUCGUCUGCAGUUGUGCAGACUUUCAACGGGAAUAAGUAUAUGUCCCUUUUUAUAAAAAAGAUAAAAAAUAAUAUCAAGUGAGCAAUGGGAUUCAUUCACAAAUUCUUUAGAGUCAUCAGGAAAGUUUGCAACCAAAGGUUCACUGGGCACAUUUCACAACUUUGCGAUACUUUGCCUUACUUGUGUAAUAGCAAAGCAUUUUUGUUUUGCAUUCAUUUUUACUUCAGACAGAUGCAAUGUUUUAUUAGUUUUCCUUUUUAAUAUGUAGUUUUGUGCAGAAUAGAGUCAUUCACGUUUUUAAAGGAUCUGUUAUUUUUUGUUUUUACCAUGAAUGACCAAACUAUAUCCAUUGUAUUUCACAGUGAUUGUCGAAUAUGAGAUUUCUUAAAGAAGAAAAAGAUGCAUGAUUUCAAAACUAUUCCCAACAAUACACACAUCUCUGUUUUUGAUACUUUCUCAGAUGUUAGAUUAAUGAAGGAGUUCCACUUUUCCAUCUUACUGCAACUUCUUUAUUACUUAUCGCUGAUGCUGUUUACAUAAACCUAUUAAAGACAAAAAUAUUAGCUUUCAAAUUGUUUUGAAAUAAUCAUCGUGUUUAACAUUUCUUUGCCAAUGAGGUUGCUUUUAUUUAAAUGAAAAUUGGACGGAUUUUUAUUAAGUAAGCCUUAGUUAUCGCAUCUGUGAUUAUGCGCACAUCCCUUCAAUAAGAGUCCAAUCACCUUCAUUACUAUAGAAUGAUCUACUUCGGUUGCUCAUCGUAAUUUUCAAAAGACUUACGAUUAAACUCAUCACUUUAAACCCUGCUGAGAAGUUUCUGUAGAAUGCUUUCAUUUGAUUGUAUUACUAAAUCUUGAAUUAUUUGAUUUUUAAUGUAAAUGAAAGUCACAUUUUGGCCACUGUCAGAGCUGAUGGAGUCAAGACUAAGGGUAUGGAUGUAACUACACGAAAUCUGUAAAAUUACUGCUGUUUCAAUUCCACGACUUUUUGCUCUCAGUUUUCAGUUUAAUAAGCAUAUCCAUGUAAAUGUAAAAACAAAAUACGGAGCUCGGUGACAACUGUUUACAAAAGAAAAUCACUGUCGACUUUUUAAUGUCCCAUUUCCUCGUAUUUAUGAAUUAAUAAUGGAUUAAGAUGAGUAGAAUUGCGAUAGCGAUAAUAGCAGUAACAAUUAAAAACCAAUAAAUGACAUGUAAAAAACUGUGACUGCAUUUGAUCAAUACGCGAACUGCACUUGGAUGAAAACUGUGCAAGGCUGGAGUGGAAUCUACACAGAUUGAUCUGUAACGCUUUCCUGUUCUCAUUAGCUAAAAUAGGUCUUUGCAGGAUGGAAUUCAUCUGAAA